GACGAACGCUGGCGGCGUGCCUAAUACAUGCAAGUGGGACGCAAGAGAACACACUGUGCUUGCACACCGCGUUUUCUUGAGUCGCGAACGGGUGAGUAACGCGUAGGUAACCUUCCUAUUAGCGGGGGAUAACUAUUGGAAACGAUAGCUAAUACCGCAUAAUAUUAAUUAUUACAUGAUAAUUGAUUGAAAGAUGCAAGCGCAUCACUAGUAGAUGGACCUGCGUUGUAUUAGCUAGUUGGUAAGGUAAGAGCUUACCGAGGCGACGAUACAUAGCCGACCUGAGAGGGUGAUCGGCCACACUGGGACUGAGACACGGCCCAGACUCCUACGGGAGGCAGCAGUAGGGAAUCUUCGGCAAUGGACGAAAGUCUGACCGAGCAACGCCGCGUGAGUGAAGAAGGUUUUCGGAUCGUAAAGCUCUGUUGUAAGUCAAGAACGUGUGUGAGAGUGGAAAGUUCACACAGUGACGGUAGCUACCA
rnacentral:rRNA from 1 species